UAAAAAACAAAUACUACAUGUACACACACAUGCACACAUGUGUACACACACACAAGCACACACACACACACACACACACACACACACACACACACUGAAAAUAUAGUUCUGACUAAUGUCUCAGGCUUUAACUUCAAUCAUUGAUAAAUGGGACCUCAUGAAAAUGCAAUCCUUCUGUAAGGCAAAGAAGGACACUGUCAAUACAACAAAUUGGCAGUCUACAGAUUGAUUGGAAAAGAAUCUUCAUCAAUCCUACAUCUGAUAUAGGAAAAAUAUCCAAAAUUACAAAGAAUUCAAGAAUUUAGACACCAACAAUGCAAAUAACCCAAUAAGUAAUGGGGUACAGAGAUAAGUAGAGAAUUGUCAAAAGAGGCAUCUUGAAUGACUGAGAAGUACUUAAAUGCUCAAAGUCAUUAAUCACCAGGGAAAUGCAAGUCAAAACAACUCUGAUGUUGCACCUUAUACCCAUCAGAAUGGCUAAGAUGAGAAGCUCAAAAGAUAGGACAUGCUAGCAACCAUGUGGAGCAAGGGAAACACUCCUCCACUGCUUGAGGCAGUGCAUACUUGUACAACCACUUUAUAAGUCAAUGUGUCAGUUUCUCAGAAAACUUGGAAUAGUUCUACCUCAAGACCCAGCUAUACCAGUCCUGGGCAUAUACUCAAAAGGUGCUCCAACGUUCGACAAAGACUCGUGCUCAACUAUGUUCAUAGCAGCUUUAUUCAUAGUAGUCAGAAACUGAAAAGAAGCUAGAUAUCUCUCAAGAAUGAAUAAAGAAAAUGUGGUAUACCUUACACAAUAGAAUAUUAUUCAGCUAUUAUAAACAAAGACAUCACAAAUUUUGCUGGCAAAUGGAUGUCACUUGAGAAUAUCAUCCUGAGUGAGGUAACUCAGACCCCAAAAGACAUACAUGGUAUAUACUCACCAAUAAGUGGGUAUUAGCCAUAAAAUACAAGAUACAUGUUACACUCCACAGACCCAAAGAAGUUAAACAAGAAGGAAAGCCCACACAAUGCCCCAACUUAAGACCCAUCCCAUGGGUCCUCAGGACCAUUCUCCCCUCAGAGGUUCCACUAAGCAGCUAACUCAGACAGAUACAGACACCCACAGACAAACAGUAGAUGCAGAUUGAGGACUCUUAUGGAAGAAUAGGAAGAAGGAUUGUGGGGGUCACUAAGGGGAUAAUAACUUCACAGGAAGACAAACAGAAUCAACUAACUUGGACCCUGGGGGCUGUCAGAGUCUAAACCACCAACCAAAGAACAUACCUGGGCUGGACUUAUGCCUCUCUGCACAUAUGUAGCAGAUGUGCAGCUUGGUCUUCAUGUUGGUCCCAAAAAAAUAGAAUGGAGGCUAUCUCAAAAGUUGUUGCCUGUAAGUGAGAUGUGCUUUAGCUGGGCUGUCUUUGUUUGACUUCAGUGGAAAAGAAAGUGCUUAGAGGAGCAGAGACCUGAAGGGCCAGGGUGCAGGAUACCCAGCAGUGUCCCCACCAUCAGAAGAAAAGGAGAGAAGUUAUUAUUAUAAGCUAGUAGAAAAACUUUUGAAGACACAGAUGUCCUUCAACAAAGAAUAGAUACAGAAAAUAUGAAUGAAAUGGCAACCAACUGAUUAGGAAAAGAUCUUUACCAAUCCUACAUCUGAUAGAAGGCUAAUAUACAAAGAACACAAGACAUUACACUCCAGAGAAUCAAAUAACCCUAUUAAAAAUGGGGUACAGAACUAAAUGAAGAAUUCUCAACUGAGGAAUAUUGAAUGAAUGUGAAGCACCUAAAGAAAUGUUCAGCAUCCUUAGUCAUAAGGGAAAUGCAAAUCAAAACAAUCCUGAGAGUCCAUCUCACACCAGUCACAAUGGCUUAGAUCAAUAACUCAGAUGACAGCAGAUGCUGGUGAGGAUGUGAACAAAGAGGAACACUCCUCCAUUGUUGGUGGGAUUGCAAGAUGGUACAACUGUGAGGAGCUGUCCGAGGAGCUGUCCUCACAGAUGUGAGGAGCUGUCCGAGGAGCUGUCCUCACAUAUGUGAGGAGCUGUCCUCACAUACUCCAUUAUAAGAUGGCGCCGGCAUCCGGCAGAAUGCACCUAGUAAAACGGGCAAUAUGCAGGCGCCUGGUAACUUCCCUACUCAAAGGGACACGUACGCUUUGGUACGUCAUCUGGCAUAAUUGGCAGCAACCAGUCAGAGAGUGACACGUCCUAGGUGAGGAUAGUUUCCUAUAUAAGGGACGGUUAUUCCUCACUCAGCGUCUCUGCAUUGUAAGCUUAUGCUCUCCCUCUCAAGACGCAUUAAAGCUUUUCUG